rnacentral:tRNA from 1 species
GCUCCCGUAGUGUAGACCGGCCAAUCUUUCGGGCCUUUCGAGCCUGCGACUCGGGUUCGAAUCCCGACGGGAGCA